rnacentral:lncRNA from 1 species
UCGUUUCUAAUCUACCAUUUUAAAGAUAUAUUUUAGAUAAACUAAUUUAGGAAUUGCUUCAGAUGUAUUAAAUUACAAUUAUGGGUUAAGAAACUAAAUCAAUCUUAGUCUUCUUAGAUUAAUGAUGGUGUGAGUUUGAUUUGCGAUGAUGAUUAUUGCUUUUCCCUAAGCUACACAUACACAAAAAAAAAAAAACCCACUUUGUCAUGAAAACCCAAAUCGACGAUGAAGUUCAUCCCAUUUUUGGGUCUAUGAAAAUGAAGGAAACACUUACCAAGAGACUCACCACUCAUUGCAUAAAUGUCUAAAAUCCCGAAUUAACUUCUAGCCUUAAGCCUUCUGCUGCACCUUCACCUUCUUCAACCUUUCGAAACACUUUCCCUUCUCUCUUCUGUCGCUUCGUUCGGGUUUAGGAUUAAGGUUUGUGUUUACUUUUUUUU